UACGUAGGGUGCGAGCGUUAAUCGGAAUUACUGGGCGUAAAGCGUGCGCAGGCGGUUUUGUAAGCCAGACGUGAAAUCCCCGGGCUUAACCUGGGAAUGGCGUUUGGGACUGGAAGUCUGGAGUGCGGCAGAGGAGACUGGAAUUCCUGGUGUAGCAGUGAAAUGCGUAGAUAUCAGGAGGAACACCGAUGGCGAAGGCAGGUCUCUGGGCUGACACUGACGCUCAUGCACGAAAGCGUGGGGAGCAAACAGG
rnacentral:rRNA from 1 species